rnacentral:lncRNA from 1 species
GGGAACAAGGUAUGCGCUAUGACUUUUAUAAAGAUCAACAAGGAAAAAGCUUGACGAAGUUGGGGAUAGGAUGGUAGGAUCUUUGGUGGAACGUCGGUCAAGGCUAUUUUUGAAUCGGAUUUGAAAUUUGACCGAUCGUCUACUUGAUUUUGGAACAUCCUCUGCUCAAAAUCAGAAGAAGUGCUGUGAGUGGAAGGUGUUCAACAUGAAAAGUUCUACCACUAGUAUAU